UUUUACUUGUUCGCUUCCUUCAUGAGUCAGUCUAAGAGGGUUAAAUAUAGACUUUACAGAGUCUCUAUUUGUUAUCUUUUCAUACAAAAUGUAUGAGAUAGAAUUCAACAAGAUGAUUCUUGACCUAUGAGGAUUUUUGUUGAUCAUUCAUGUUGCUUCUUUCCAUCUUAGCACCAUUUGUAUCCAAGGGAUGUGUAUAGC
rnacentral:lncRNA from 1 species